rnacentral:rRNA from 1 species
GACGAACGCUGGCGGCGUGCUUAACACAUGCAAGUCGAACGGUGAAGCGCCUUCCUUUUUGGUGGGUGUGGAUGAGUGGCGAACGGGUGAGUAACACGUGAGUAACCUGCCCCCUUCUUCUGGAUAACCGCAUGAAAGUGUGGCUAAUACGGGAUAUUCUGGGUCUGUCGCAUGAUGGGUCUGGGAAAGAUAUUGUUUCGGUGGGGGAUGGGCUCGCGGCCUAUCAGCUUGUUGGUGGGGUGAUGGCCUACCAAGGCGGUGACGGGUAGCCGGCCUGAGAGGGUGGACGGUCACACUGGGGCUGAGACACGGCCAAGACUCCGACGGGAGGCAGCAGGGGGGAAUAUUGCACAAUGGGCGCAAGCCUGAUGCAGCGACGCCGCGUGAGGGAUGGAGGCCUUCGGGUUGUGAACCUCUUUCGCCAGUGAAGCAGGCCUGCCUCGUUUGUGGGUGGGUUGACGGUAGCUGGAUAAGAAGCGCCGGCUAACUACGUG